rnacentral:snoRNA from 1 species
AAUCCGUAAUGAGGGCAUUUGGUUUGAUAACCCUUAAAGUGCUCCCAAGAUUCACAGAAGCUUUCAUUUUGCUUCUGAGUGAAUCUGGAUAUCUCGUUCCGGAGUCC